UCUACCACGACCCACUUUGUCUUUUAGAACCCUCCAUCGAAAUCUGACAUACUUUUUUUCUUUUUUCUGAAACUGCACAUUCUCCACCAUAAACACAAAAAGCUUGUGGAAGUUAACCCCGCAACCACAAGUUUGAAAUCUCAUUUCAUUAUAUAUCCCCACAACCCCACUUUCAUAACCAUCAUUUUUCAUGCAGCAACCAGUGUUAUUUAGUCUAUUAUUCUAACUUCAAACUGAAAUAUAUAAUUUUGAAGGUUAAAACUCUAUCUAUUUUCGGCUUAUUGAUGAGUUCUCUCUUUGCUUCAAGUUGCUCUCAUUCUCUCCUGAUUUGGACUCAACUGUUUAGUUGUGCAAUCUGAGACGAACGGUAAAAGUGCUAUGAAUCCUCAAACACACAUACACAUAUAGAGUCAUGUAAGUUACCUUAGCCAGCUAGAGAAGAAACACAUAUAAAUUCCAGAAUGUCAGUGUUUCUGCCUUGAAGUCUUAUUCACUAGCAUUGAAGAAUGGGAGUUCAGCAAAAACUCGGUGCUUUCCUCUUUCAAUUAAGCAUGUUUCUCCUUGUUAGCGCAUCUCAAGAGCACAAGAAAGCUAAAGGCAGACAUUCAAGCAAAAAAGACCAUAACAUCAAGAUGAGUUCUAGACUUCAGUUCGAAAUCACACUACAUGGGUUUCUCUUGUGGGCUUCAAUGGCGUUCUUAAUGCCUAUUGGUAUGGUAUACUAGUCAUUAGACUGUCCAACAGAGAGGGGAAUCAAAGAAGGCUUAGAAUUAUAUUUUAUGUUCAUGCAGUUUUGCAGGAAAGUGUAUCUAAACCUAAAACCUCUGUUACAUUAUCAUUAUAAAUUUAAAUCAUAGAUCAUAAUUUUUUCUUUUUCUUUUUUGGUAUAUUUAAUUAGUUUCUUUUCCCUUUACGUGGCAACCCAUAUUUGUACAAUUAUUUAUAUGGUUUCAGUUUAGUUUAGAAGGGUCGGUUGUCCCACUAAUUAACUUCUAAUGAUGGUGGAAUGGAGAUAAGAAUAGCAAGAUUCCAAUUUUACAGUUAAUUUAUUUGUCCUAAAGCUUGUUAGUCACUACAUAAGGUCAAGUGAGGGGUAUUUCAUCUUUGUUUAUUGAAAAGGACUAUAAUGAAUGGUUUGAAGACAAGAAAUAAUCUUCUUGGUUAUUGGAAGUUCCAAGCUUUCUUUGUCUCAUUUUUUAAUAGAGCAUGUGAAAAGAACUUUGCAAUUAUGCUGUUGUCUGUAUCAUUAAUCAAGUUUUAGCUCAAGUUAUAAAAAGGCCAGAAGCUUUCUUUUCUUGCAUUGAUCCUUGCCUUUUUUUUAUUAAUUAUAUGCACGUUUUGUAUUUCUGUUCAACAGAAGCUUGCCGUACUUCUUGCCACUGCAGGAGCAAUCAUGUCCAUAAAAAGUUUCAACAACUCCUUCAGCAAUAAUCAUCAAAGAUUAGGGGUAGCAUUAUAUUGUAUUAUCUGGCUGCAAGUUCUAGUUGGUAUUUUUCGACCACAAAGGUGAACCAAAGGAUUGCUUGUUAUUAAGAAAAUCUAUGCAAUAUAUUGGAUUAGGCCAUUUAGCCUUUGAUAAAUACCAAACUUAGACAAUGCAGUCAAACUUUUCUUCUCUUUUAAAUUUCUUUAUAAAGAUUUUUCAUGUUCUAUGUUCAUAUUUUCUAGAGAGCCAGCUUUAUUAACAGCUACAGUUUUCUGUUUGCAAAGCAUGAUGAUUAGGGUACAAGUGUUUUCUUCUUCUUCGCAGGGGAUCCAAAAAAAGAAGUCUUUGGUUCUUUGCACACAGGGUAGUGGGAACUGCAGUGUCAUUACUGGGUGUGCUGAAUGUAUUUAUAGGUUUACAAGCCUACCAAGAAAAAACAUCCAAAAGCAUAACAACUUGGAAUAUACUUUUCACCGUUCAGAUAUCUUUGAUUGUGAUCUUCUACCUUCUUCAAUAAAAAUGGGUCUACAUACAAAACCAGGGAGUGAUUUGGGACAACUAAUUACUGAUUCCUACUUGAUAAGAAAAAAAGCUAGUUCAGAUGACAAGAAUGCAGGCAUGAAGGCUGAGUCUUGCUAAGAAAAAUGAAUCAAUGCCUUGCCAUGGAUGCAAGUGUUUGAAACACAUAAGACCACAGAUGGACCUGAAUUUCUUUCCCUAAGAUAAAAUAUGUUUGUGUGGGUUUCUUUCUUCAGAGAAGGUACAGUCAUAGAAAACUUUGUGAUGUCUUCCCGCGAGAUACAUUUUUUUUGUUGUAUUCUCCUAACAUUUUUUUUUUUUUUAUUCUCCUAACAAUCAAUUCUGAUAUUUUUUUCAAACCUUGAUGUGGACGCUGUAAUACUUCAUGGAGAUAGAUCAAUAUAUUAUCCAUGAUGUUUUUCUCAA